GACCCUAGGUCAAACGGGAUCACCGGCUAAGUUUAAGCAUAUCAAUAAGCGGAGGAAAAAGAAACUUACCAGGAUUCCCCUAGUAAUGACGAGUGAAUCGAGAAUAGCCCAGCUUGAGAAUUAGGCACCUCCGGCAUUCGAAUUGUAGUCUGGAAAAGCGUCAUUAGCAGUAGACCAAGCCCAAGUCCCUUGGAAAAGGGCGUCAGAAAGGGUGAGAGCCCCGUUGUGCUUGGACCCUGUCGUACCACGAGGCUCUAUCUGUGAGUCAGGUUGUUUGGGAAUGCAGCCCCAAUCAGGCGGUAAAUUUCAUCCAAGGCUAAAUAUGGGUGAGAGACCGAUAGCGAACAAGUAUCGCGAGGGAAAGAUGAAAAGAACUUUGAAAAGAGAGUCAAAGAGUGCUUGAAAUUGUUGAGAAGAAAGCGGAUGGGGGUCGACGAUGCGCCUCGAUCGAAUGUGGAACGGCAAGAGCCGUUCCAUCGAUCGACUGAGGGCGUGGAUCGAAGCAGGUCUUGGCAACGGCCCAAGCCCAGGCUUUCAAUGUGCCUAAGAAGACAUCGUCAUUGCAAUCAUGAAAUGCAACACGCAUCAUCUCAGCAUGCCACGGCACCCAUAUGCUCCCGGCGUCGGCCUGCAGGCUCCCCAUCCGACUUGUCUUGAAACAUAGAUCAAGGAGUCUGACAUGUGUGCGAGUCGACGAGCCAAAAAACCCGUAAGGCGCAAGGAAGCUGAUUGGCGGAAUCCCUUACGGGUGCACCGCCAAUUGACCUUGAUCUUCUGAGAAGGGUUUGAGUGAAAGAAUGCCCGUCGGGACUCGAAAGAUGGUGAACUAUGCCUAAGUGGGGCGAAGCCAGAGGAAACUCUGGUGGAGGCACGUAGCGAUACUGACAUGCAAAUUGUUCGUCUGACUUGGGUAUAGGGGCGAAAGACUAAUCGAACCAUCUAGUAGCUAGUUCCUUUCAAAGUUUCCCUUAGGAUAGCUGGAUCCCUUGACAAGUUCUAUCGGGUAAAGCCAAUGACUAGAGGCAUCAGGGCUACAACGUCCCUGACCUAUUCUCAAACUUUAAAUAGGUAAGUUGGUAUGACUGCUUCGUUAAGCCGUGCCAUGGAAUCGAAAGCUCUAAGUGGGCCAUUUUUUGUAAGCAAAACUAAUGAUACGAGAUGAACUGAAGCCAGGUUACGGUGCCCAACUGCACGCUAACCCAGAACCCACAAAGGGUGUUGGUCGAUUAAGAUAACAGGAUGGUGGUCAUGGAAGUUGAAAUCCGCUAAAGAGUGUGUAACAACUCACUUGUCGAAUCAACUAGUCCCGAAAAUGGAUGACGCUUAAGCGUGAGACCUAUACCCGACCGUCGAGGCAAGGGCCUGGCCCCAAUGAGUAGAAAGACGUGGUGGUCACCACGAAACCCAGGGUGUGAGCCCGAACGGAGUGACCAUCGGUGCAGAUCUUGGUGGUAGUAGCAAAUAUUCAAAUAAGAACUUUAAAGGCCGAAGAGGGGAAAGGUUCCAUGUGAAUGUCACUUGCUCAUGGGUUAGUCGACCCUAAGAGAUGGGGAAAGCUCAUCCAACAACGCGUCCCACACGAGCUUCGAAAGGGAAUCAGGUUAAAAUUCUUAAACUGAGAUGCGAUGGCUGACAGCAAUGUUAGGGAGUCCAGAGAUGUCGACAGGCACCUCGGAAAGAGUUACCUUUUCUAUUUAAAGGCUCGCCCACCCUGGAAAUGGCUUAGUUGGAGGUAGGGUCCAGCGGUCGAAAGAGCACCACACAUCGCAUGGUGUUCGGUGCACCCCCGACGACCCUCAAAAAUCUGGAAGAUUGAGUGUCGUCCAUGCCCAGUCAUACUCAUAACCGCAUUAGGUCUUCAAGGUGAACAGCCUUUGGUCGAUAGAAUAAUGUAGGUAAGGGAAGUCAGCAAAAUGGAUCCGUAACCUCAGGAAAAGGAUUGGCUUUGAGGGCUGGGCAUGGGGGUCCCAAUCUCGAACCUAUUGGUAAUUGGUGCACUGCUCGAGCUACUCUACGGUGAGAGAGGGUCACUGUGUGCUGACCUAGGGACGGACUGGGAACGACUCCCUCAAGGCUUUCUCUGGGUGACGAACAGUCGACUCAAAAUUGGUACAGAUAAGGGGAAUCUGAUUGUUUAAUUAAAACAAAGCAUUGCGAUGGUCCCUGCAGAUGCUCACGUAAUGUGAUUUCUGCCUAGUGCACUGAAUGUCGAAGUGAAGAAAUUCAACCAAGCACGGGUAAACGGUGGGAGUAAUUGUGACUCUCUUAAGGUAGCCAAAUCCUCAUCAUCUAAUUAGUGACACACAUGAAUGGAUUAACGAGAUUCCCACAGUCCUUAUCUACUAUCCAGUGAAACCACAGUCAAGGGAAUGAGCUUGGUAGAAUCAACGGGGAAAGAAGACCCUGUUGAGCUUGAUUCUAGUAUGACUUUGUGAAAUGACUUGAGAGGUGUAGGAUAAGUGGGAGCCCUUGGGCAAAAUUGAAAUACCACUACUUUUAACGUUAUUUUACUUAUUCCAUAAACCAAAGGUGAGGUACAACCCCUUCUUUUAAACCCAAGGCCAGCCUCGAUUGGUCGAUCUAGGCGAAAGACAUUGUCAGGUGGGGAGUUUGGCUAGGGUGGCACAUCUGUUAAAAGAUAACGCAGGUGUCCUAAGAUGAGCUCAACGAGAACAUAAAUCUUAUGUGGAACAAAAGGGUAAAAGCUUGUUUGAUUCUAAUUUUCAAUACGAAUAUGAACCAUGAAAGCGUGGCCUAUCGAUCUUUUAGACCUUCAAGAUUUGAAGCUAAAGGUGUUAGAAAAGUUACCACAGGGAUAGCUAGUUUGUGGCAGCCAAGCGUUCAUAGCGACGUUGCUUUUUGAUCCUUCGAUGUUAACUCUUCCUAUCAUUGUGAAGCAGAAUUCACCAAGUGUUGGAUUGUUCACCCACCAAUAGGAAACGUGAGCUGGGUUUAGAUCAUCGUGAGACAAGUUAGUUUUACCCUACUGAUGGCAGCGUCACGAUAGUAAUUCAACCUAGUACGACAGGAACAGUUGAUUCACACAAUUGGUCAUCGUGUUUGGUUGAAAAGCCAGAGGUGCGAAACUACCGUGCGUUGGAUUAUGACUGAAUGCCUUUAAGUCAAAAUUCAGGCUAGAAGUAAUGCGCGAGCCCGUCGCCCAAUUGCCGACCUGCAGUAGGGGCCCAUGGCCCCCAAGAGCAUGUGUCGUAGAUGCAACCCCCACGGCGGACGAGCCGCGAGGGCCUCUUUAGAGCUCAAUUUCCAUUGAACGGUAGGUACAAUC
rnacentral:rRNA from 1 species